ACUCUACGAUGGGAUGUGAUGACGAACACGAUUAUCAGCCUCCAUGCCCGAAUAACAUCGUUGAUGCCUCUAAAGCAGUAUGGGAAGCCUUGGGUAUACCUGAAGGUGAUUGGGGCGAGUAUGACAUCACAUGGUCUGAUGCUUAGUGCAUUCAGUUAUAGUAUCUAUGGUAUCGAUGAUUGUGUACAUACUCAGAUCAUGUGUAAUAUGUGGUAAAAAUACUACUAGAUUGUCCUUUGUUGUUGUGAAAUUACAGUUAAUGAAAUUCUGUUUAUAUCAACUUUUGAACUCAUUGAAAUAUGAAUAAGUUUCAUGCCUAUAAAAGAGACAUGGUCAGUAAAAUCGGAAAAACAUGACUUGGUUCAGUAGCUAAUCUAAACCUACAACAGUUUGACCAAGAUCAAUCAUUCAAUCAAUCGAUCAAUCCACUACGCUUCAGAACCAAUUUAGUUGAGCUCAGCAAUACAAAUCCUGUAUAUCACUCAAUGGUUGCAUCAGUUAGACUAUUUUUACACUAACUCGUACUUCAUCAGUUUGAUCCAGCUAUACUUUGUAGAGACACAGCGUUAUGAAUCGGCCUCAAAUGGGUAAAAACUGAGCUGCUUUAACUUUUAUAAUGAUGGAAAUCAUCCGAUAGAUCAACUGGCAAAGAGGAUUUCUGUCUUUCUGACGGCACAUGAACUAUCAAAAGUCGAAGAAUUGAAGGCCUUUUUCUAUUCUACUGUACUAUAUAUUCUUUAAAAACAGGCGGAUGGAGCAUUACCAUUCUUAAAUUAGUCUUAAUCUCCUCUACCAUUAUGGAUGUCAAGGGAAAAGAUGAUUGUAACAGAAUCAAGACUCUUGUUGUAGUAACAUGUUAUACAUAAAAGAUUUACAGAUGCUAUGGAAUACAGGUUUUCAUGUUUAGCAACCAGAUGUAACAAUCUGUUGUCCUAUACUGUUCAGAAAAAACAGAAGUGUUUUCAGCAACUAAAGAAUCCAAGACAAUAAAAUAACUCAUUAAGUUCUUGUCUUAUUAGGUACUGAUAGAAUAGAAAAGCAUGAUUAGGCAUAAGCCGUGAAGGUAAAGUUGCUGAGACUGAAAACUCCAAUUUAGACAUCUAUUAGUAGGAAAAAAUAAGCUGUGACUGUCACAGAAAGUAAAGCAGUUCUAAUCACAUAUGUAUAUAUGCUUAAUCAUAAGAAACCUUUCAUGCCUUGAGCAAAAUACUGGCAUUUUCUGUGACCAAAACACUAUAUAAACCAGUUAGAUUAUCCCAAGUCUUCAAACAACUAACAUUUGAAUAAAAUACCAAAGAAAAGAAGAGAAAGAAAUGAAGAACUCUAGCAUGGGAACAACACUUCUGGUGUUGCUGGUUUUUGCUACUCUUACUUACUGCUCAGAUGCAAGAUUACAGUCUUGUCAGGCUAGUGGAAAAAUCAGGGGCAUAAAGCCGCCUCCAGGACAAUGUAAUCCCGAAAAUGACUCAGAUUGUUGCAAACAAGGUAAGAUGUACACCUCUUACAAAUGUUCGCCUCCUGUGACGGGUAAUACCAAGGCUGUUUUAACCCUGAAUAGCUUCCAAAAGGGUGGAGAUGGUGGUGGACCAUCGGAAUGUGAUAACCAAUACCACUCUGAUGAUAUUCCAGUAGUUGCCCUUUCAACCGGAUGGUACAGUGGAGGAGAUAGGUGCCUUAACUAUAUCACCAUAAGUGCUAAUGGCAAAAGUGUGAAGGCUAAAGUUGUAGAUGAGUGUGACUCUACCAUGGGAUGUAAUGACGAACACGAUUAUCAGCCUCCAUGCCCGAACAACAUCGUUGAUGCCUCUAAAGCAGUAUGGGAAGCCUUGGCUAUACCUGAAGGUGAUUGGGGCGAUUAUGACAUUACUUGGUCUGAUGCUUAGUGCAUCAUUAUAGUAUUUACCUUAUUAUUCAAAUAUGAUAUUGUGUGCAUACUCUGAUUAUGUAUAAUAUUUUGUAAAGAUACUAUCAAAUUCUUGUGUUUGUUGUUGUGAAACUGCAUUUAAUGAAAUUUUGUUUGUAUCAACUUUCUAAGUCAGUGCAAUAUGAAAAUCCAUGCCUAUGAAAGAGAC
rnacentral:lncRNA from 1 species